AGCCAAGGGGCUCCGGGUCCCCGACAGGGCAGCGGCCGCGCAGAGCAGCACCAGCAGCGGGCAGCCGGGGAGAGAGAGCCGGGUGUCCAUUCUUCACCAGCGGGGAUCAGAAACCGUUCACCGGUGGAGAGGGGGAUAAGUGCAACGAGCAAGAUGCAGCCGGACACAAGUUUCCAUGGAGCGUGUCCGGUGAAUUCGUCCUUCCUUCCUGGGAUGUGAGUGGGGCACUCCCGGUCCUCAGCAUCAUCUCUCAGGCAACCUCCGUCAAGCACACGGGACUUGGCAGCGCCACACCGGAAAUGUGUCUCUUUUCAAAAUAAAAGAAACAUUUUUUUCCUAUUAUAAAGCAAGUCAAAGUCAGUGUUGAGCCUUUUAAAUGGGCAUUAGCACAAUAUGUAAAUAUACAACAAUGAAUUAUAUAAUAAAAAAAGGCCAAAAACUCAA